rnacentral:sRNA from 1 species
UUGAGGCGAUCAGAUGUUGAUGUUGGUGGUUCUUGGUAAAAUGACUUAACCAGUGUCCUUUGCUAAAACUGGAUUUUACAAGGAAGUGAACAAAUGGGCCUAGCAGAAGAUUCAGAAGCCUGACUAAAAUUUGGCCAAGGAAAAAAUCCUUGACACCAGGAAAGUGAGGAUUAUUGUCACCAAAUUCAGGGAGCUGCUUCCACCUGUCUCCUGUGCCCUUGGUUUCUGCUAAUCCUACAUUCCAAGAACAAAAGUCUUCCUAUGCGUUUUCCUUCCUAGGCUGAAGCCAAGUUUCCCUGCUUUGGGCACGUUCAAAAUAGAAGGUAUUUUCCGCUUCUCUUGCUUCUGAGCACCCACGAAAUCAACACAUCCCCAAAACACGCGUUGAGGGAGUAAGGGAAAGUGUCCUGCACCCGCCACCCUCCCGCGCUAAGAGCGUUAGAGGACCCCACAGCUGCUCACUUCCCCGGAGGAGCUCCUGGAGUAGGAGACGCCGUCUAGCCUGGAAGAACCCCGGGUGCAACAGUUGUGCCAGGAACCUUCAAGAGUAUUCCCUCGGCUGGGC